GUCUCCGUGGCGCAAUGGUAGCGCGUUGGACUUCUACCACCUCAAAACCGGUCAUCCAAAGGCUGCGGGUUCGAGCCCCGCCGGAGAUG
rnacentral:tRNA from 2 species